AGCACAGCGCUAAGUGCGUGUGAACUUCUAAUCGCUAGGCCGCAGGUUCGAGUCCUGCCGGGG
rnacentral:tRNA from 1 species